rnacentral:lncRNA from 10 species
GAGACCAGGUCUCACUCUGUUGCCCAGGCUGGAGUGCAGUGGUGCAACAAGGGCUCACUGAAGCCUCAGCCUCCCAGGCUCAAGUGAUCCUCCCACCUCAGCCUGCUGAGUAGCUUGGACUACAGAUGUGCACCAACACACCCAGAUAAUAUUUUUAAUUGUAUAUUUAUUGUAGAAAUAGGGUCUCAGUACCUUACUCAGAUUGGUCUCAAAUUCCUGGGCUCAAAUAAUCUUCCCACCUUGGCAUCCCGAAGUUCUGGGAUUAUAGGCGUGAGCCACUACGGCUGGCCUGCUGCCAUUUUUUGAAUACCUCCUAAUAGGCACUAUGCUUGGCAUAUUCAGAGUUAGACUGUAUAAUAACUGCAGGUGGCACAUAGGAGAUAAGAGUGGACCCACCUGACAGCAGCAAGAAAACCAGGAGAAACUGCAUUUUGCCAAACACCAUGUGAUCUUGGAAGAAGACCCCAAGCUCC